rnacentral:rRNA from 1 species
UACGUAGGUGGCGAGCGUUGUCCGGAUUUAUUGGGCGUAAAGCGCGCGCAGGCGGUGCGGUAAGUCCGUCGUGAAAUCUCCCGGCUCAACUGGGAGGGUGCGGUGGAGACUGCCGGACUGGAGGCACUCAGAGGCCGGUGGAAUUCCCGGUGUAGUGGUGAAAUGCGUAGAGAUCGGGAGGAACACCAGUGGCGAAGGCGGCCGGCUGGGGGUGAACUGACGCUGAGGCGCGAAAGCGUGGGGAGCGAACCGG